UACGAAGGGGGCUAGCGUUGCUCGGAUUUACUGGGCGUAAAGGGCACGUAGGCGGACAGUUAAGUUGGGGGUGAAAGCCCGGGGCUCAACCUCGGAAUUGCCUUCAAUACUGGCUGUCUUGAGUGUGAGAGAGGUGUGUGGAACUCCGAGUGUAGAGGUGAAAUUCGUAGAUAUUCGGAAGAACACCAGUGGCGAAGGCGACACACUGGCUCACUACUGACGCUGAGGCGCGAAAGCGUGGGGAGCAAACAGG
rnacentral:rRNA from 1 species